rnacentral:miRNA from 1 species
UCACACAUUAUGAGCUUUAGGA